rnacentral:rRNA from 1 species
UGAAAUCUGGCCCUAGGGUCCGAGUUGUAAUUUGUAGAGGAUGCUUUUGGUGCGGUGCCUUCCGAGUGCCCUGGAACGGGACGCCAUAGAGGGUGAGAGCCCCGUCUGGUUGGAUGCCAAUCCUCUGUAAAGCUCCUUCGACGAGUCGAGUAGUUUGGGAAUGCUGCUCUAAAUGGGAGGUAUAUGUCUUCUAAAGCUAAAUACCGGCCAGAGACCGAUAGCGCACAAGUAGAGUGAUCGAAAGAUGAAAAGCACUUUGAAAAGAGAGUUAAAAAGUACGUGAAAUUGUUGAAAGGGAAGCGUUUAUGACCAGACUUGGGCUUGGUCAAUCAUCCGGGGUUCUCCCUGGUGCACUUUUCCAGUCCAGGCCAGCAUCAGUUUGCUCCGGGGGAUAAAGGCCUCGGGAAUGUGGCUCCUCUCGGGGAGUGUUAUAGACCGUUGCGUAAUACCCUGGGGCGGACUGAGGUACGCGCUUCUGCAAGGAU